UUCAGAUAUGGAUUUGAAGGGCUUCCUGCCCUGCUCUGUCCCAUCCCAGAGUGCACAGAAGGGCCAGGCAAAUCCUAUGCCUCAUGCAGAAGAAAGCAAGCUCUGGGUGCCGCUAGAUGGCAAUGGAGACAGCAGCACUGUGCAGUUGGCUUCAGCGUCGCCGGUGCUGCCCGCAUCCCUGUGCUGUAACAGCAAACACUGGCUGCUCCAAGGAACAGAUCAGUGCACUGGAUUCCAGGUUGGCACCGCCAAAAUUGUAAAUAUAUUUUAAGAGAUCCGAAUAAGGUCCAAAUUGAACUUUUUGGCACCUAGAAGAGGAAAUCGGCGGUAAUCAGGGAAAAAUUGUUUGUAAUCAGGAAGUGAUGCAACACAUGGGGGUCCAAACUGAGCUGCAUUAUCUUUGUGGAAGCUGAUUAAUUUGUAUUCGAAGCCUUUCCUUCCUUCCCAGGCAGGGAUGGAGAGCGCUGAAGCAUCAAUCAAAAGGCCGUUUCUUUCUUGAUAUUUUCCACGUGAUUUUCUCCUUCCCCCAGAUGUGAUCAUUAUCGGUGCGAGCCUUUCAGCUCACUUUACGAUGAAGACAGGCAGAAAUUGCCUGUAAAAAUCCCAAGCCUCACUGUUGGGUCCUGUGCUACGUCCCGAGUCCGAGAGGAUCCAAAGGAGAAAAAUGUGCUGACAUUUCCUUCAGCCAAAAUCAUUUCAUUUGGAGCAGAAUAAAUGCCAAUAAAUAAAUAAUAGAUAGAUAGAUAAAUAAAUAAAUAAAAGCAUCUCUUACUCAGCUGUACACCUGGCCUGGGAGUACAAAAUCUGUACUGAGCAGAGUGAAGUUUUGAAAACCUGUGUGUGAAAGCACAGAUAAAGCCUUCCACCUCAGAAGAAUUAAAUACCAUGAGCUGUCUCAGACCUUGAGGUAUUAUAGAUAAAAUCUUCCAGCCAUAUAAGCAACAGCUAUGAAAAACACGUUCAGCAGGAGGACUAACCUGCCUGCAUCACUGUAUGCCUUCAUUCCUAAGGAUGGAAGCAAAUCUGUGACAUUUUGCUGCUGCUGUUGAGGUCAUUUGGUUUUGUGCAAUCCUUUUAACGCUGUGCUUGGAUCUGCUCUGAGACUUCUCCCUCGUUACAACGGUGCAGCAGACUUCCUUCAUUUCUUCUCUCCACUGGGGAGCCAAGCACUGAGCGUGUGCUACCUGCCUUUGUGUGAAUCAGAU
ensembl:lncRNA